AAACUUUCAACAACGGAUCUCUUGGUUCUGGCAUCGAUGAAGAACGCAGCGAAAUGCGAUAAGUAAUGUGAAUUGCAGAAUUCAGUGAAUCAUCGAAUCUUUGAACGCACAUUGCACCCCCUGGUAUUCCGGGGGGUAUGCCUGUUCGAGCGUCAUUACAACCCUCAAG
rnacentral:rRNA from 1 species